rnacentral:rRNA from 1 species
CUAUGCGCCUUGCCAGCCCGCUCAGGUGUGCCAGCAGCCGCGGUAAUACGUAGGUGGCGAGCGUUGUCCGGAUUUACUGGGCGUAAAGGGAGCGUAGGCGGACUUUUAAGUGAGAUGUGAAAUACUCGGGCUCAACUUGAGUGCUGCAUUUCAAACUGUAAGUCUAGAGUGCAGGAGAGGAGAAUGGAAUUCCUAGUGUAGCGGUGAAAUGCGUAGAGAUUAGGAAGAACACCAGUGGCGAAGGCGAUUCUCUGGACUGUAACUGACGCUGAGGCUCGAAAGCGUGGGGAGCAAACAGG